rnacentral:miRNA from 1 species
GGAAUGUUGUCCGGCUCGAGG